AUACUAAAGUAGUAAUAGAUAUGUGCUUGAAACUUAAAGAAUUUGGCGGUAUUUUAAUCUUUUCAGAGGAACCUGUUCUAUAAUCGAUAAUCCACGUUAAAUUUUACUAAAUUGUUUGUAUAUCGUUGUCGAAAGAAUAAAUUUUCUAAUAUUUUAAAGAAAAUAGAUGUCAAAUCAAGGUGUAGCUAAUAUUUUAGUAGAAAUGGGUUACAAUAAAUUUAUUUAGGAAUAUUUUGAAGGCGGAUUUGAAAGUAAAUUAAUUUUAAUAAAUUUAAUUGAUUAUAGCUCUAAAAUAUGU
rnacentral:rRNA from 1 species